AGCAGCCAUAAGGGACAAAGUUCUUGCAGAAGAAGGUGAUGAAGGUGGUGAAAUCUCCAUCCCUGGAGAUGACCCAGCAGAAUAACCAGCGAGUUCCAGCUCUUCAGUGAGCCAGGGAAAGCCAAGUGUGUUGCAACAGUAACUCGUUCCUUGGCCCCAGCAUCAAGAGCUUGUGGUGACAGGAUGAGGGACAGACCACAUAGGAACAUGACCAG